CAAAGCCUGCGAGCGCCAGCCGAGAUCGCAGCCCAACCCAUGGCCGGGUCUCCUAGCCGCGCCGCGGGCCGGCGACUGCAGCUUCCCCUGCUGUGCCUCUUCCUCCAGGGCGCCACUGCCGUCCUCUUUGCUGUCUUUGUCCGCUACAACCACAAAACCGACGCUGCCCUCUGGCACCGGAGCAACCACAGUAACGCGGACAAUGAAUUUUACUUUCGCUACCCAAAAGAGUCUCACUCUGUUGCCCAGGCUGGAGUGCAACGGCGCAAUCUCGGCUCACUGCAACCUUCACCUCCCAGGUUCAAGCGAUUCACCCGCCUCAGCCUCCCGAGAAGCUGGGAUUACAGGCACCCACCAAAACACCUAGAUAAGUUUUGUAUUUUUAGUAGAGAUGAGGUUUCGCCAUGUUGGCCAGGCUGGUCUUGAAUUCCUGACCUCAGGUGAUCCACCCACCUCGGCCUCCCAAUGUGCUGGGAUUACAGGUGUGAGCCACUGCACCUGGCCCUAUUACCCUACUUUCUGUAUGCAGAGCUCAUCAGCAGGCUAUCCCCACCUCACCCUGUUCUAGACCCAACAAAAUGAAGCUCAAAAUGCUAAGGAUAUAGAGAGUGAGGUGGAAACUUGGACUUGGGUGUGAAGCACCAGAGCCCCCACCCACCCUAGGCAGAAGGGGCUACAGCUCCUCCCUCCCCAUAUUUCAUCCACAGCCCUGGCUAGAAAAGAAGGAUAGAGAGUUGGGAGGGAACAGUCCAGAGUCUGACAGAACUAAGCUGUUGCGUAAGGGUCUGACCUGGCUGCUUGCCAUGAACCCCUGACUUGCUUCUCCUCGAAGCCUCCUUAUUACAAAGCUUUCCCUGGAGUCCAGCCUCUUGCCCCUGUGCUGCAAUGGUAGGCUCUCCUUGGACAUACAGCAUUUCAUCCCUGAAUUGCAAUAAGAGAGAUAUAAAAGAUGGAGUUUCGCUCUUGUUGCCCAGGCUGGAGUGCAAUGGCACAAUCUCGGCUCACCACAACCUCUGCCUCCCGGGUUCAAGCGAUUCUCCUGCCUCAGUCUCCUGAGUAGCUGGGAUUACAGGCUUCCAGGACGUGCAUGCCAUGGUCUUCGUGGGCUUUGGCUUCCUCAUGGUCUUCCUGCAGCGUUACGGCUUCAGCAGCGUGGGCUUCACCUUCCUCCUGGCCGCCUUUGCCCUGCAGUGGUCCACACUGGUCCAGGGCUUUCUCCACUCCUUCCACGGUGGCCACAUCCAUGUUGGCGUGGAGAGCAUGAUCAAUGCUGACUUUUGUGCGGGGGCCGUGCUCAUCUCCUUUGGUGCCGUCCUGGGCAAGACCGGGCCUACCCAGCUGCUGCUCAUGGCCCUGCUGGAGGUGGUGCUGUUUGGCAUCAAUGAGUUUGUGCUCCUUCAUCUCCUGGGGGUGAGAGAUGCCGGAGGCUCCAUGACUAUCCACACCUUUGGUGCCUACUUCGGGCUCGUCCUUUCGCGGGUUCUGUACAGGCCCCAGCUGGAGAAGAGCAAGCACCGCCAGGGCUCCGUCUACCAUUCAGACCUCUUCGCCAUGAUUGGGACCAUCUUCCUGUGGAUCUUCUGGCCUAGCUUCAAUGCUGCACUCACAGCGCUGGGGGCUGGGCAGCAUCGGACGGCCCUCAACACAUACUACUCCCUGGCUGCCAGCACCCUUGGCACCUUUGCCUUGUCAGCCCUUGUAGGGGAAGAUGGGAGGCUUGACAUGGUCCACAUCCAAAAUGCAGCGCUGGCUGGAGGGGUUGUGGUGGGGACCUCAAGUGAAAUGAUGCUGACACCCUUUGGGGCUCUGGCAGCUGGCUUCUUGGCUGGGACUGUCUCCACGCUGGGGUACAAGUUCUUCACGCCCAUCCUUGAAUCAAAAUUCAAAGUCCAAGACACAUGUGGAGUCCACAACCUCCAUGGGAUGCCGGGGGUCCUGGGGGCCCUCCUGGGGGUCCUUGUGGCUGGACUUGCCACCCAUGAAGCUUACGGAGAUGGCCUGGAGAGUGUGUUUCCACUCAUAGCCGAGGGCCAGCGCAGUGCCACGUCACAGGCCAUGCACCAGCUCUUCGGGCUGUUUGUCACACUGAUGUUUGCCUCUGUGGGCGGGGGCCUUGGAGGCAUCAUAUUGGUCUUAUGCCUCCUAGACCCCUGUGCCCUGUGGCACUGGGUGGCACCCUCCUCCAUGGUGGGGGGCAGAGAAGCCUCACAGAUCCUCCCCUACCACCACCAGGGCUCCUGCUGAAGCUACCCUUUCUGGACUCCCCCCCAGACUCCCAGCACUACGAGGACCAAGUUCACUGGCAGGUGCCUGGCGAGCAUGAGGAUAAAGCCCAGAGACCUCUGAGGGUGGAGGAGGCAGACACUCAGGCCUAACCCACUGCCAGCCCCUGAGAGGACACGCUCCUUUUCGAAGAUGCUGACUGGCUGCUACUAGGAAGUUCUUUUUGAGCUCCCAUUCCUCCAGCUGCAAGAAGGGAGCCAUGAGCCAGAAGGAGGCCCCUUUCCACAGGCAGCGUCUCCACAGGGAGAGGGGCAACAGGAGGCUGGGAAAUGGUGGGGAGUGGGGCCGUAACUGGGUACAAUAGGGGGAACCUCACCAGAUGCCCAACCCGACUGCCCUACCAGCCUGCACAUGGGUAGAAGAGGCCAAAUUGAGGCACCCAAGUGAUCCACUGGCCCCACGUCACACAGUUACAGUGAAGCCCAAGCCAGGCCUGGUUGAGGGUGAUAAACGCCACUGUCUCUAA